rnacentral:rRNA from 1 species
UAUCCAUUAUGGAAAAUUCAACAUUAAUAUUAUAAUAUUUAUUUAUAAAUCAUUAUAAAAAUAGUGUGCAAUUUUUCCAUAUAAGGACAUUGUAAUCUGUUAAUGUAAUAAAUAUUUAUCAUAAGAUUCAAUAAAUAAAAGUUUAUUCAAAUUAGUUAUUUUCCGAUUUCUAACAUAGAAUAAAUUUAAUUGAAUUUGAUAAAUCAUUGACAGAUUUAUUUAUAUAUAGUGCUUAAAUUCUUAAUUGAAUUUUACAAUAAUUUUUAAAUGUAUUUUCAUUUAUUUAUUUAUUGUAUGCGCUUAUAUGAUUAACAAUGCUAUAGAUUCAGGAUACCUUCGGGACCCGUCUUGAAACACGGACCAAGGAGUCUAACAUAUGUGCAAGUCAUUGGGUAUUUUUAAUAAAACCCAAAGGCAUAAUUAACUUAACUGUUUAUAUAUAUGGGAUUAGUUUAUAUUUUAUUAUGAAAUAUUAAUUCAAUCCCAGGGCGUUCUAUAUAGUUAUGUAUAAUAAUAUUUAUAUUAUUUAUGCCUCUAACUAGAGCGUACCUUGAGCAUAUAUGCUGUGACC